rnacentral:tRNA from 1 species
GCAGUAGAGACAGCCAGAGGCAGGGUUGAUUUAAUUCCCAAGCAAAGGGUCGCGGGUUCGAUCCCCGUCUUCCGCUCCA